UUUUUAUUUUUUUUUUUUUAUUUUUUAUUUAAAUAAUAAAUUAUUAUAUAUAUAAAUAACAAGUUUAUAAGAGUCUUUUGUCACUUAGUGAAAAAUGUAUUUUUGAAAAUGUCUCAUUAGUGGUGGUAAAAAUGAAAAAUGGUACCAUAAAAGUGGUAAACAUGUAAUUUCCCUAUAAUUAAAAAGAAAUAGACAUACGGACCUUGCGGGCGGCUUCUGUAUAAUAUUAAAAAAUAAAAAGAGAAAGAUAAUUUUAUUUUGAGUCAUUUACAUCUAGAGUCAGUUUUAAGUUUUUUAUUACACUCUCACACAGUUACAACAACUAAGGUAGUUUCUUGUUGGUUGUUUACACAAUUACCCCUUUUUCAAUAAACCUAAUUGUUUUUUUUUGGUGCUCAGUUGCCAGUUUCUUUUCAAACGUAUUUGAAUUUUAAAACCUAAGAAAACACCAAUCCACAUUUGUAUUCUAAUUUGACCCACAAAUUUUUUUUUUGACGAAAUUUUCUUAUAUUUUUGACGAAACCUGAAAGAGAUUGUUGGGAUGAGAUGUUGGCUAACAACGAAGCUUAAGAAUCCGAGAUGUGACGGUGCGUCCGAAUUUGCGGUGGUUAAAUGCUUGUUGGUUGAUGAAUGUCUCGAUUUGGUGUUAAUUGGUAAAUUAGGGGAAGUGUAAAAUCUUAGUUUUUUCUUAUUCUGAAGGUUAAAAUCGUUAGUAUAUGAUAGUUCUACAAGUUUGAAGUGUUAAUCUCUGUCUAAACGCAAAAAAAAAGAAGAUUAAGUGAAAAUAAUCCAUGGCGGCUGCGUUGUAAAGUUCCAGAACCCUAGUGAUUUUUUGAGGAAGAUGAUGCUUUUAAUUACGAAAAUGCCAUUCAUUAAGUUUUUGGAAAAUAACUACGUCGAUGCGUACACAAUAUUAUUGUACACAUGUACAUAUGAAGGAUAGAAAAUUCCUUUGUAAAAGGACGAAGAUGGAUGGUUUAUGUGAAUGAAAGAGUUCACGUGUGUUCAUUAAUGGGGAUUAUUUAAGAACUUGAUACUAUAAGUGUUUGAUUUUUCGUUGCUUACAUUGUCACUGUUAGAUGUUUGUACAUGUGUACAAUCAGUGUUAUGUAUAAUUAUUUGUUUGUGUACACAUGUACAAAAUCAUAUAUUUUUGAUGUACAUCUUGCUUUAUGCUUAUGAAUCAUAGCCGGUUGAUAUUUUUGAUGCUUUCUGGAAUCGUGGUGCUUUGGCUAGUGAGACAGCAAGUUCUAUGGGGGCAAAAUCAAAAAAACAAGAACAUAAUAUAUUUCAAUUUAGUCAUAACCGGUUUCGUUGAAAUCAAAAGGAAGCAGCCAGAGACAAAAAUUGAAUUCAUCGGAGUUAUCCAUCCAUCAUGGUAACAAUGGUUAAAUUUACAGUGGAAGAUGAGCCGAAGAUUCCAAACGUUGAUGUCAAUGCUUCCAAACAAAUUUAUUAUCUCAGAAUCAUAUCUCACAUUCACCUUCUACAUCCUUGCUGUCGUCGUCCAUGUCCUAUGUGUGUACAUAAAAUGUUUGUGUACACAAAUACAUUGAAAUAACUACGUCGAUGCGUACACGUGUACAUCUGAAGGAUAGAAAAUGCAUUUGUAAAAGGACAAGGAUGGACGGUUUAUGUGAACGAAAGAGUUCACAUGUGUUCAUUAAUGGAGAUUAUUUAAGAACUUGAUACUGUAAGUGUUUGAUUUUCUGUUGCUUACAUUGCCACUGUUAGAUGUUUGUACAUGUGUACAAUCAGUGUUAUGUAUAAUUAUUUGUUUGUGUACACAUGUAUAAAAUCAUAUAUUUUUGAUGUACAUCUUACUUGUUGUGCUUAUGAAUCAUAUCCGGUUGAUAUUUUUGAUGCUUUCUGGAAUCAUGGUGUUUUGGCUAGUGAGACAGCAAGUUCCAUGGGGGCAAAAUCAGAAAACAAGAACUCAGUAGAUUUCAAUUUAGUCAUAACCGGUUUCGUUGGAAUCAAAAGGAAGUAGCCAGAGACACAAAUCAAAUUCAUCGGAGUUAUCCAUCCAUCAUGGGAACAAUGGUUAAAUUGGUGGAAUAUGAACCGAAGAUUCCAAAUGUUGAUGUUGAUGCUUCGAAACAAAUUUAUUAUCUCAGAAUCAUAUCUCACAUUCACCUUCUACAUCCUUGCCGUCGUCGUACCUGUCCUCACUGCUGUCAACGUCUUCAUCAUCAACGCCAUCAUUCUGUCCUUAUCAUUUUUUUUAUUUGUUCUACAUGAGGCCAACUAAGGACUGUAAAACUCUAACUUCAUCGUCAUGUUUCAUCUUCUUCCCAAACAGAAAGAAAAUACGAGGAAGAUGAAAAAAAAAAUUAAGAGAUAAGGAAAGAGAAAAAAAAUAUUGAUUUGUGGCCACAUGAAUUAAUUCUUAUUUUUAAUUAGGUUUCAGUUAUAAAUAAUGGGAAAAGGAUAGCAAGGGGUUUCCACACAUUGAGAAUAGGAGAGAAGGUGUUGAAAUGAGAGAAAAAGGAAUUAAACGCUUAGGUGCUCCUGCCCAAAAAAAAAUGAUCUGAGAUACUCCUGCCCGAAACUGACCGGAUUUGGAAUUAAAUAUAUCUUUAAUUAAAUCAGAAAAUUUAUUAAAAGACCACAGAGCCAACAAAAACUUACAUAAUUACAACCCAACCAGGGCCAUUUCGCGGACCAUCCAGACCCGAUCCAUAAAUUCGGAUCUAUUUCGCCUUAACUUCCGAAACCUUUAUAUGACUUAGUGUAAUUGUAAACUUUGGUAUAACUGUGUAGCGUAAUAAAACCUGAACAAAUAAAUACUGUCCCAGUUACAAAGUUAUGCUAAAUUGAACUAAAUCGCACAUUGAGUACUCCACAUUUAGAUUGCAAUUUAUUAUUACGUUAUUGUUCGGCCACAUGUGUUGUUAUUGAUAUAUUUAGUGAAGUUCAAAUAAAAAGAUUAGUUUAUAGAUAUAACUAGAGUAAUUACAUAAUGUUUAUAGAUAGAACUAGAGAAAUAACAGAGCAUAACAGCUCAUCAACUUAACAACUUAGUAAAACUAGAUAAAACUUCUACUAAUCUUCAAUUGGCCAUGUGCGAGCAGUCAAGUGUAUUUGGUAGCAGAAGUCAUACGCUGCACAAUUCCGGAAACAACGAUCGCAUUUCCACCGUGAUCGUGAUCCAUCUAGGGAGACUUCAAACUCUGGAGGGUCUAUGUGGGAACACCAGCAAUCACGUGGCACAUUAGGAUCUAUCCUUUCAGCCAUAGAUAGAAACAUGCCAGGUUAAUCGUAAUCCCAAUGGCCUGAGAGUUGCCAACUACAGAUGAUUUGAAACAUCUUAUCAACAUGUUGACGAGUAAAGGCAGGGUAGUUGUGAACAAUUCCCCUCUGAUCAAUGCUAAAGGCUGAGUUCAGCAUUCCAUCAAGAUACUGGGCCAACUCGCAUCCUCUCUCACCAGCAAGAUGGAUUUUUUCCCAUCCUUCAUCAACUAAAUGGAGGAUGAAGAACUCAUACAUACCUCUCAAGUAUAUGGCCUCUGGAUUACCCGAACGGUAGCAUUUAAGCCUGAAUGUUCGAACAACACUGACCUCGUCUACCCAGUCAUUCAGGUAAAUGAGAUUGGCCGAUCUGUAGAAGUGAUCUUCUCUUCCAACUUCGUUGAACCCGGGAAAAGCAAUCCUUGCAGAACCAAAAUCCCGGAUAUUCAUCGUUGCUACCGUAGAGAGAAUCUUAUGAAGCAUUGAAGGAGGGAGAGAAUCCAUGUCUAAAUCUGAUAAAAGAAAAAAUGUUAUUGUGUGAGAGAGAUGAGGGAAAUUGUAGAGAUUUGAAAUUGUAUGUAAUUGUAGAGUGUAAUUGUAGAAGUGAUAAACCAUUUAUAGGUGAUUUGAUGGACUCCUCGAGAAGACAUGACUUCUGUGACACGCCUUUUGAAUAACAGUCGCGUCUGUUGGAAUUGAAACUUUGUAAAACUAUAAUUUAUUAAGAUAUAUCUAACUAUAUUUAAUGAAGUUGAACAGUGGCGUGUCCAUUUAAGGUUGAUUUGAUGAGUAUUAUUACUUGAUUGACUCGAGACUCCCCCGAGAUUAAACCAUUUCUCUCCCCGAGAAAGCAUAACUACUUCAACUUAUCUAACACGCUUUCUGACUGCAACAGUCGCCUCUCCUGAAUUUUAACAUACAUAAAUAUGUAUAAGUAAGUGAAACUCGUGGAGAUCACGGGCUAAAUUUAUGAAACUAAGCAAAACGUAACAAUUUAGAUUGUAUGAAAAUUUGAAACUAUACAAAACUUAACGAAAUUUAGAUAUUAUAUCGUUUUAUUUUUUAAAAUAUGGUCAGUUUCCAAAAUGUAUAAUAGUUAGUGAAUAUAUUUAGAGUUCAUAUAUUUAAUGAUAGCAACUACCAGUGUAGGAGAUAAUCAAUGAAAAUGAU